CUCGGAGCCGCCCCGCUGCAUGCUGUGGGGAGACACGGUCGCGAUAAUAAAUGAUAGAGGAUACAAUGACUUUGCUGUCUCUGCUGGGUCGGAUCAUGCGUUACUUCUUGCUCAGACCGGAGACCCUGUUCUUGCUGUGCAUCAGCCUGGCCCUGUGGAGUUAUUUCUUCCACACGGAUGAGGUGAAAACCAUUGUUAAGUCCAGCAGGGAUGCGGUGAAGAUGGUGAAGGGCAAGGUGGCCGAGAUCAUGCAGAAUGACAGGCUCGGGGGUUUAGACGUGCUGGACGCUGAGUUCUCCAAGACCUGGGAGUUCAAGAGCCACAACGUGGCUGUCUACUCCAUCCAAGGCCGCAGGGAUCACAUGGAGGACAGGUUCGAAGUAAUCACCGACCUGGUGAACAAGACUCACCCCUCCAUCUUCGGGAUAUUUGAUGGGCACGGAGGAGAGGCAAGUGCUCAGCUGGAAAUAACCAAUAAUUCAACAACACCAAAAAAAAAAAGGGGGGUGCGGGAGGGAGGAUGGUCCAAGGCAAGGCGUGGAUGUGUUCUCACCCACCAGGUUUGUGUGGUUGUCUUGUACAUUGUGGGGAGGGGAUUUCCUUGCUUUUUGUCUCUGAGAAAGGGCUGUGUAAUCCUCCCUUCCCUUUAUCCCUCCUUACCCCUUCCACUCUCAGCACGGCACAAAUGUGCCCGUACCCCCUUUGCCCUUUGCAGUAGUAGAGGUUUAAUUGAAGGCAAGGCUGCUGGAGGUGGCUCUGACGUGCGUGGAAUAACGAUGAUGAGCACAAACUCCCCGGAGUCAUCUUUUGUUACAGCCAAGUGUGCUGUGAUGUGAUUUUGGCAGCGGGCUGGCUGCUCCCCCGGACACAGCCGGGCUCAUCGGCUGAGGUGGAACAGCAGCGCUGCUGGAGGAUGCUAAAGUGUGCAAAAUGUGCUCUGGGUAAUUCCCUGUCCAGGGAGCCGAGCACA